rnacentral:rRNA from 1 species
GUCUACAGCCAUACCACCCUGAACGUGCCAGUCUCGUCUGGUCUCGGAAGCUAAGCAGGGUCGGGCCUGGUUAGUACCUGGAUGGGAGACAGAUCUUCAGAGAAGACUGUCAGAGACA